rnacentral:tRNA from 1 species
GGGAAUGUGGCUUAGUGGUACAGUGCUUGCCUAGCAUGCAUGAAGCACUGGGUUCAAUUCCUCAGUACCA